rnacentral:rRNA from 1 species
UGGGGAAUUUUGGACAAUGGGGGAAACCCUGAUCCAGCCAUCCCGCGUGUGCGAUGAAGGCCUUCGGGUUGUAAAGCACUUUUUGCAGGAAAGAAACGUCAUGGGUUAAUACCCCGUGAAACUGACGGUACCUGCAGAAUAAGCACCGGCUAACUACGUGCCAGCAGCCGCGGUAAUACGUAGGGUGCAAGCGUUAAUCGGAAUUACUGGGCGUAAAGCGUGCGCAGGCGGUUCGGAAAGAAAGAUGUGAAAUCCGAGAGCUCAACUUUGGAACUGCAUUUUUAACUACCGGGCUAGGGUGUGUCAGAGGGAGGUGGAAUUCCGCGUGUAGCAGUGAAAUGCGUAGAUAUGCGGAGGAACACCGAUGGCGAAGGCAGCCUCCUGGGAUAACACUGACGCUCAUGCACGAAAGCGUGGGGAGCAAACAGG